GAACUAUUCCCUCUGUUCGGAAUUACUUGUCGUAGAAAUGGAUGUAUCUAGACGUAUUUUAGUUCUAGAUACAUCCAUAUUCGAGACAAAUAAUUCCGAACGAAGGGAGUACAUG
rfam:Triticum aestivum genome assembly, contig: Triticum_aestivum_CS42_TGACv1_scaffold_001179_1AL